rnacentral:lncRNA from 1 species
GUUGGGGAAUGGGUGGAUGGAGGGAGGGAUGGAGGAAGAGGGGGCUGGCUUCACCAGGGACAGGGUAAAUUCUCCUUCUUCCUCAAGGAUGGAAGGAUGAAAGGAGGGAGGGAUGGAGGGAUGGAGGAAUGGGGGUCAGGAGUUCUCCUUCUCUCUGUUGGUGUCACCCAACAUACAUGGAUGGAGGGAUGGACGAAUAGAGGAUAGACAGAGGAUAGAGGGAUGAGGAUAAGCUUUGUUGGUUGGUUGCUAUGUCCCCCAGUGUGGUCCAGGAGGACAGCCAUCUAUCAGACAGCCUUCAUCACCAGCUAGGGCCUCCAUUUAAAUGCACAAUCUCCUCUUUAAUCUCUUUAAGCUACGGUGAUGCAUCACUAUUGCAAAUUUAAUACGCCACUCUAUGUUUCUCCCCCCUUCCAUUCACAUCCAUCUGGACGCGCACGCAUACACACACACACGCGCACGCAUACACACACACACGCGCACGCGCACGCGCACGCACACACACACACACACACACACACACACACACACACACACACACACACACACACACACACACACACACACACACACACACACACACACACACACACACACACACACACACUCCAUCCACCUCCGGACACACUGGCUUAAUGUGUUUUGGCCAAAGUGAUGAUGUUAAAGUCACUGUGUACUGAAUAGCGGAGGAAGGAGAAAUGGAGCAAUGGGGGGAGGAAAGGAGAAAUAGAGCAAUGGGGGGAGGAAAGGAGAAAUGGAGCAAUGGGGGGAGGAAAGGGGAAAUGGAGCAAUGGGGAUAGGAAAGGAGAAAUGAAGCAAUGAGGGGAGGAAAGGAGAAAUGCUAAUAUUCCCUCUGUGCCUCUUUCUCUCCAUUUGGUGGAUUUAUGUAGCUCUCCUCUUAAUGAAAUAAGGAGCUUUCUCCCUGCCUGCUCUGCUUCCUGAAGAGGGUUCUCAUUCAACCCCAGCCUAGCUGCUUCCUCUAACUGACCAACCACACAACACAACAGCUUACUCAGUCUAGGGGCCGUCCUAAAUGGGUCCCUGUCCCCUACACACUAAGUGUACAACACAUUAGGAGCUCUUUCAAACCGCACCGGUUUGAGUGUGUCAAGAACUGCAACGCUGCUGGGUUUUUCAGGCUCAACAGUUUCCCGUGUGUAUCAAGAAUGGUCCACCACCCAAAGGACAUCCAGCCAACUUGACACAACUGUGGAAGCAUUGGAGUCAACAUGGGCCUGCAUCCCUGUGGAACGCUUAUGAUACACCUUGUAGAGUCCAUGCCCAGAUGAAUUGAGGCUAUUCUGAGGGCAAAAGGGGGUGCAACUCAAUAUUAGUAAGGUGCUCCUAAUGUGUUGUACACUCAGUGUAUAUUGCCCUCAUUUUGGACUCUAUUCCCUCUACACUGGGAUAAUUCUGGCCAGAGACUCUAAUGACAUCAACUCCAUCAUCUGUAUUAAGUAUCCUUGGUUAAAUCUGAAAUGGUAUCCUUUACCCUAGUGCACUCAAACCUAAGCCUCUGACCAAAAGUAGUACCCUAGGUUUGCCCUAGGUUACUGCUGAUGGACUUGGCGUCCUCAGUCCUUAGACCUCAGUACAGCCGCUCUUGUUCCAUCCUCCAUUCCACCUCUCACACACAGCAGGGUAAAGCCUGGCAUGUUUUACACUAGUGAAUUGGCACACUGAUUAACACAUUCAGCAAGAUAACAAUUAUUUAGUGCUAUCUCCCCUUCACAGAAACUCUCCUCCUAUCCUCUCUCUCUCGCUCUCUCUCUCUCUCUCUCGCUCUCUCUCUCUCCCUCUUUCUCUGUCACAUUCCUUCAUUCCCUCCAUCCCAUUCACCACCCCCUCUCUAUCUCGCUCUCUCUUACUCUCCCUCUCUCAUCCUAUCACAUCCUCUCAUCCAGAGGUUAGGCAGAGGGGAAACAACAUUAAUUCCCUGGCUAAAGAGAUAAAUGAUUUAUGAUUUAUUUAUGCAAGUGUUGGUGUUUUCUCAUCUCAUCUCCCUGGCACCAAGUCAUAAUUCUCUCUCUUCAGAAAGCACAAGGGAGAUUUUAGAGAGGUUUUGUGCGUCCAGUAACAGGGGAAAAAAGCCAGGCUAUUAGUGCUUGAACAACAAGGUCCUCCUGGUCCGAGUUCACAUUGUAUUAACGGUACAAAGAGCAUAGGAAUUGGCUGGCUAUACAGCACAAACAGAUCUGGGAUCAGGCCAGUCUUCUGCCACUCCACCCUUCAGAUUCCUACAGUAUCUGUUGUCUCUAGUCGAGCUUUACUUUGCUGUUGUCUGUUUUCUUGUGGUCGUCCUGUUCUGUGAUCGUCAGUGAGGUCCUUUGUCUUGAUAGGGUGCUUUGUGUUUGCAGCAUUUUUAUUCCAGGAGGGAGAUGGGGGGGGGGUAGUGUCCUCCAGACUUGUCCUAGCACCUGUCCUGCAUGCUUGAGAGAGAGAGAGAGAAACAGAGAGAAACAGAGAGUGAGAGAGAGGGGGAGAGAGAGGGAGAGAGACA